AUUGAACGCUGGCGGCAUGCCUUACACAUGCAAGUCGAACGGCAGCACGGGAGCAAUCCUGGUGGCGAGUGGCGAACGGGUGAGUAAUACAUCGGAACGUGCCCAGUCGUGGGGGAUAACUACUCGAAAGAGUGGCUAAUACCGCAUACGACCUGAGGGUGAAAGCGGGGGAUGGCCAGACCUCGCGCGAUUGGAGCGGCCGCUGUCAGAUUAGCGAGUUGGUGGGGUAAAGGCCUACCAAGGCUACGAUCUGUAGUUGGUCUGAGAGGACGACCAGCCACACUGGGACUGAGACACGGCCCAGACUCCUACGGGAGGCAGCAGUGGGGAAUUUUGGACAAUGGGCGCAAGCCUGAUCCAGCAAUGCCGCGUGCAGGAAGAAGGCCUUCGGUUGUAAACUGCUUUUGUCAGGGAAGAAAUCCUCUGGGUUAAUACCUCGGGGGGAUGACGGUACCUGAAGAAUAAGCACCGGCUAACUACGUGCCAGCAGCCGCCGUAACAC
rnacentral:rRNA from 1 species